GCUCUGGCAGGAGCUGGGGACAAGGUGGCGGACAGACAGGAAAACGUAAAGACUCAUAUUUUGUGAUGUCCAUACUCUCUGACAUUGGGCUUUUGCCGGCAAAGUGUAAGCCUGCUGGAUGUCCUAAUGUCUUUGUUGGUUUUAAAAUUUUCCCCUGGAAUACACUGGGGCAAGCAAUUAAUCCUGACACCAUGGCAAUUAGACAGGGCCAUUUUUAGACCAGCAGCUUGUGGGACAAGCAGCAUUGUUCUGAGGAUUAUUAAGUAUCCAUUUGGAUGGCCUGGGUUCAGGGCCAGAAACACUGCCAUGGGCCGCUGAGUUAAGCACUUUUAAACACAGUCAGCACUCUUCUCAUCCCCCACAUGACCUUGGCUGAGUCACAUGACUCAGGCCUCCCUAGGCCUCAGGUUGCUCAUCUGCAGAAUGCCUGGGACAAGACUGCAAAGGCCCUUUCAGAUCUUCCCAGCUCCGGAGUCCCCCAGGUCUGCAAGGAUGCUCAGUCCUGGGAUGGAGAAGAUGAGAGUGGCGAGGGCUGUCCAGCUUCCCUGAGGACAGGAGCUGCAGCCUGCUCCUGCUCUGAUGCUUUGGACAUCAGGUGCAAGCAGCAGGGUAGCUGUGCCUGGCUUCCCUAGUAGCAGCUGUGGACAGCAGGGUCUCGUGCCAUCUGUCCUCAGAGGCUCAACCGGACCCCAUGUUCCCUGUAGGCAGGAAAUGGAUCUCGUUCCUGUCUCGCUCCUCAGAGCCAGAUGGAGCACAUUCAGGAUCACGGAUUGGCUCAUGUCCAGCCUCAAACACAAUGUACUAUUACAGGAGCAGCCAAAGAAAGGGCAGAAGUAGAAAAGAAAAGAAGGGAAAAAAAGCAUUUGGAAUUCAGAGUACAAAUCAAAGGAUCACAGCAGAGGUCUGCUGGUGCACCCUUCAGCAUGCUUGGCCUGGGUUCCUGUGCAACGUUCUGGAGAUAUGACCUCUGGAUUCAGCAACACAUUGCUUCAGUAAUGGGUGAUGAUGCUGGUACUGCUGCCUCAUGGGAGUUCCUGGUACCCGAACUUUAUAAAUUUUGUAUUACAUCUGAGUUACCGCCAUCUGCUCACUAGAGCUCAAGAUUUAAUUAACUCUAAGGAGUUCAGAUUUGCUCAUCCUAGUUUUAAAUACUGAGCAAGAGUUUGUCUGCAGUCACAUUGUAGACUUGAAAGUGUCAUUUUGUAAAGGCUGCUGUCAUCCUCUGCAAGCCAUUUAGGCAGGAGCUAAUCCACGUUAUAAACAGCUCCACCCUCAGCAUUUAAAAGCAAGGAUGUCACUGAGUGCCCCUUUUUCACUUUUGCUCAGCACACACAAAUUAGAAUUCUUCCUCUUCAAGCCAUGCAUAUUAUUUUACUUCAUUUUAGCAGCACCAGCUUUUUGUGUGAAAAUAUGCAUCCCUACACAAUGUGUAUGUAGCAUACGUAUAUACAACAGCUAAGUACCACAGUUAGAAAUAUAAGAUGGAGGUUUUCUUUUCUUUAUGAUUAAAAAAGUCAGUUUGAUUUUUAA